rnacentral:rRNA from 1 species
CCUACGGGAGGCAGCAGUGGGGAAUAUUGGACAAUGGGCGAAAGCCUGAUCCAGCAAUGCCGCGUGAGUGAUGAAGGCCUUAGGGUUGUAAAGCUCUUUUACCAGGGAUGAUAAUGACAGUACCUGGAGAAUAAGCUCCGGCUAACUCCGUGCCAGCAGCCGCGGUAAUACGGAGGGAGCUAGCGUUGUUCGGAAUUACUGGGCGUAAAGCGUACGUAGGCGGUUAUUCAAGUCAGAGGUGAAAGCCUGGAGCUCAACUCCAGAACUGCCUUUGAAACUAGAUAGCUAGAAUCUUGGAGAGGUGAGUGGAAUUCCGAGUGUAGAGGUGAAAUUCGUAGAUAUUCGGAAGAACACCAGUGGCGAAGGCGACUCACUGGACAAGUAUUGACGCUGAGGUACGAAAGCGUGGGGAGCAAACAGGAUUAGAUACCCUGGUAGUCCACGCCGUAAACGAUGAUAACUAGCUGUUCGGGCUCUACGAGCUUGNGUGCGCNGCUACGACAUUAAGUUAUCCGUCCGUCGGGUAGGUACGGUCGCGAAGAAUUAAACGUAACAAAUAGAAGUAGACGGCGUGAGACGUAGCCGACGACGACGACGAGGGAGGUUAGG